GUGGGGAAUAUUGGACAAUGGGCGAAAGCCUGAUCCAGCCAUGCCGCGUGUGUGAAGAAGGUCUUCGGAUUGUAAAGCACUUUAAGUUGGGAGGAAGGGCAGUAAGUUAAUACCUUGCUGUUUUGACGUUACCGACAGAAUAAGCACCGGCUAACUUCGUGCCAGCAGCCGCGGUAAUACGAAGGGUGCAAGCGUUAAUCGGAAUUACUGGGCGUAAAGCGCGCGUAGGGGGUUUUGUAAGUUGGAGGUGAAAUCCCCGGGCUCAACCUGGGAACUGCCUCCAAAACUGCAUGACUAGAGUACGGUAGAGGGUAGUGGAAUUUCCUGUGUAGCGGUGAAAUGCGUAGAUAUAGGAAGGAACACCAGUGGCGAAGGCGACUACCUGGACUGAUACUGACACUGAGGUGCGAAAGCGUGGGGAGCAAACAGGAUUAGAUACCCGAGUAGUCC
rnacentral:rRNA from 1 species